rnacentral:rRNA from 1 species
UACGUAGGCAGCAAGCGUUGUUCGGAGUUACUGGGCGUAAAGCGUGUGUAGGCGGCCACGUAAGUCGGAUGUGAAAGCCCCAGGCUCAACCUGGGAAGUGCACUCGAUACUGCGUGGCUUGAGUAUCGGAGAGGUUGGUGGAAUUCUCGGUGUAGAGGUGAAAUUCGUAGAUAUCGAGAGGAACACCGGUGGCGAAGGCGGCCAACUGGACGAAUACUGACGCUGAGACACGAAAGCGUGGGGAGCAAACAGG